CAGUAGCCGCGGGAAUACGAAGGGUGCAAGCGUUACUCGGAAUUACUGGGCGUAAAGCGUGCGUAGGUGGUGGUUUAAGUCCGUUGUGAAAGCCCUGGGCUCAACCUGGGAAUUGCAGUGGAUACUGGGUCACUAGAGUGUGGUAGAGGAUAGUGGAAUUUCCGGUGUAGCAGUGAAAUGCGUAGAGAUCGGAAGGAACAUCUGUGGCGAAGGCGACUAUCUGGGCCAACACUGACACUGAGAGACGAAAGCUAGGGGAGCAAAUGGGAUUAGAUACCCCCGUAGUCCCUGUCUCUUAUAC
rnacentral:rRNA from 1 species